rnacentral:misc_RNA from 1 species
CAGGUAUCGGAGCGACGACUCGAGGCCACCACCUGGUGUUGGUGGCGGGUCGAAACUUCCAUGGAGAAGGAGCUGAGCUUGAGGGAAAAUGUAUUUUUGAAGUUGAGAGGACAGUCUUGUUUUGGAUUAUGUUUCCAGAUUUUUAAGUUUUUGGCGUAUUAGUGUUUUUAAGUAUUUGCAGACUUGCAUCCAGUUUCAACUGAGAACUCUGUGCUGUUUUGUUCUUUUCCAAAUGAGCGUGUCCUUUUAACACUUAAAAUUUAUUCAAUCUAUUUGUUG